rnacentral:tRNA from 1 species
GAGGUGGCCGAGUGGUUAAAGUGACAGACUGCUAAUCCAUUGUGUUCUGCAUGCUGUAGGUUUGAAUCCCAUUCUUG